CACGUCGGGGGCUAGCGUUGUCCGGAUUCAUUGGGCGUAAAGGGCGCGCAGGCGGCUCGGAAAGUCGGGUGUGAAAACUCGGGGCUCAACCCCGGGCGUGCAUCCGAUACUGCCGGGCUUGAGGCAGGUAGGGGAGAUCGGAAUUCCUGGUGUAGCGGUGAAAUGCGCAGAUAUCAGGAGGAACACCGGUGGCGAAGGCGGAUCUCUGGGCCGGUCCUGACGCUGAGGCGCGAAAGCGAGGGGAGCGAACAGG
rnacentral:rRNA from 1 species